rnacentral:tRNA from 1 species
AGUAAUACGGUUAUUGAGACGUAAGUUUGUCAGGCUUGAAAAUAGCUUAUACCAC